UUCCGGUUGAUCCUGCCGGACCUGACUGCUAUCGGAUUGAUACUAAGCCAUGCGAGUCUUUGUAGCAAUACAAGGCAGACGGCUCAGUAACGCGUAGUCAACCUACCCUAUGGACGGGAAUAACCUCGGGAAACUGAGUAUAAUGCCCGAUAGAACAUUAUACCUGGAAUGGUUUAUGUUCCAAAUGAUUUAUCGCCAUAGGAUGGGACUGCGUCCUAUCAUUUGUUGGUGAGGUAAUGGCCCACCAAGACUAUUACAGGUACGGGCUCUGAGAGGAGUGGCCCGGAGAUGGGUACUGAGACACGGACCCAGGCCCUAUGGGGCGCAGCAGGCGAGAAAACUUUGCAAUGUGCGAAAGCACGACAAGGUUAAUCCGAGUGGUUUCUGCUAAAGGAACCUUUUGACAGUCCUAAAAACACUGUUGAAUAAGGGGUGGGCAAGUUCUGGUGUCAGCCGCCGCGGUAAAACCAGCACCUCAAUGGUCAGGAUGAUUAUUGGGCCUAAAGCAUCCGUAGCCGGCUCUGUAAGUUUUCGGUUAAAUCUGUACGCUUAACGUACAGGCUGCUGAAAAUACUGCAGGGCUAGGGAGUGGGAGAGGUAGACGGUACUCGGGAGGAAGUGGUAAAAUGCUUUGAUCUCUCGAUGACCACCUGUGGCGAAGGCGGUCUACCAGAACAUGUCCGACGGUGAGGGAUGAAAGCUGGGGGAGCAAACCGGAUUAGAUACCCGGGUAGUCCAGCUGUAAACUAUGCAAACUCAGUGAUGCGUUGGCUUAUGGCCAGCGCAGUGUUGCAGGGAAGCCGUUAAGUUUGCCGCCUGGGAAGUACGUACGCAAGUAUGAAACUUAAAGGAAUUGGCGGGGGAGCACCACAAGGGGUGAAGCCUGCGGUUCAAUUGGAGUCAACGCCGGG
rnacentral:rRNA from 1 species